rnacentral:tRNA from 1 species
GCGCCUGUAGUUUAGUGGUAAAACCUCUGUCUUCCACACAGAUGUCGUCGGUUCGAUUCCGUCCAGGCGCACCA